GACGUAGGGAGCGAGCGUUGUCCGGAUUCAUUGGGCGUAAAGCGCGCGUAGGCGGUUUGGUAAGUCGGAUGUGAAAUCCCGAGGCUCAACCUCGGGACUGCAUCCGAUACUGCCCGACUAGAGGUAGGUAGGGGAGAUCGGAAUUCCUGGUGUAGCGGUGAAAUGCGUAGAUAUCUGGAGGAACACCGGUGGCGAAGGCGGCGUUCUGGACUGCAACUGACACUGAGGAACGAAAGCCAGGGGAGCAAACGGG
rnacentral:rRNA from 1 species